AUACGGAGGGUGCAAGCGUUAAUCGGAAUUACUGGGCGUAAAGCGCGCGUAGGCGGUUUAGUCAGUCAGAUGUGAAAGCCCCGGGCUCGACUUGGGAACUGCAUUUGAUACUGCUGAACUAGAGUAUGGUAGAGGGAAGUGGAAUUCCGGGUGUAGCGGUGAAAUGCGUAGAUAUCCGGAGGAACACCAGUGGCGAAGGCGACUUCCUGGACCAAUACUGACGCUGAGGUGCGAAAGCGUGGGUAGCAAACAGGAUUAGAAACCCCAGUAGUCC
rnacentral:rRNA from 1 species